rnacentral:rRNA from 1 species
UACUAGAGUAGCACUCGCAUAUCAAUAAGCGGAGGAAAAGAAACUAACAAGGAUUCCCCUAGUAACGGCGAGUGAAGCGGGAAGAGCUCAAAUUUGAAAUCUUAAAGGGUUUCCCUUUACGAAUUGUAGUUUAAAGAAGUGUUUUCUGUUGAGGUUUUGGUAAAAGUUCUUUGGAAUAGGACAUCAUAGAGGGUGAGAAUCCCGUAUUUGACCUUUACUUUCAACUUUGUGAUACACUUUCAAAGAGUCGGAUUGUUUGGGAAUGCAGUCCAAAAUGGGUGGUAAAUUUCAUCUAAAGCUAAAUAUUGGCGAGAGACCGAUAGCGAACAAGUACCGUGAGGGAAAGAUGAAGAGAACUUUGAAAAGAGAGUUAAACAGUACGUGAAAUUGUCAAAAGGGAAGCGUUUGACACCAGUGUUGUUUUUCUGAAAAUCAAUUAAAGAACUGUUUAUGCUAAGCUGUUUAGACUUUAUCAGCUAUCUGUUUAGUUUUAGGCUUUUCUUUAAUGCACUUUUCAGUUAACAAGUCAACAUCAAUUUCUUUUGCUGUAAAAAAGCUUGAGGAAGGUGGCUUGAGAUUCGUCUUAAGUGUUUAUAGCCUCUUGCCUAUGCAGUCGGAGAGAUUGAGGUCUGCAGCGUAGAUCCUUCGGGGCUAAAUGCAUUUGUGCUAAGUUAUAGCAUUUUAUAGACAACUUGUUGACUAUGAUUUGUCUUGUAGCUUACUCGCUUAUGUUAUUUUACCUACGCUUAGGAUGUUGAGCGCAUGUCUCUCUCU